GAUGAACGCUGGCGGCGUGCCUAAUACAUGCAAGUCGAGCGAACGGACGAGAAGCUUGCUUCUCUGAUGUUAGCGGCGGACGGGUGAGUAACACGUGGAUAACCUACCUAUAAGACUGGGAUAACUUCGGGAAACCGUAGCUAAUACCGGAUAAUAUUUUGAACCGCAUGGUUCAAAAGUGAAAGACGGUCUUGCUGUCACUUAUAGAUGGAUCCGCGCUGCAUUAGCUAGUUGGUAAGGUAACGGCUUACCAAGGCAACGAUGCAUGGCCGACCUGAGAGGGUGAUCGGCCACACUGGAACUGAGACUCGGUCCAGACUCCUACGGGAGGCAGCAGUAGGGAAUCUUCCGCAAUGGGCGAAAGCCUGACGGAGCAACGCCGCGUGAGUGAUGAAGGUCUUCGGAUCGUAAAACUCUGUUAUUAGGGAAGAACAUAUGUGUAAGUAACUGUGCACAUCUUGACGGUACCUAAUCAGAAAGCCACGGCUAACUACGUG
rnacentral:rRNA from 1 species